AGUCCCGCAACGAGCGCAACCCUUAUCCUUUGUUGCCAGCGGUCCGGCCGGGAACUCAAAGGAGACUGCCAGUGAUAAACUGGAGGAAGGUGGGGAUGACGUCAAGUCAUCAUGGCCCUUACGACCAGGGCUACACACGUGCUACAAUGGCAUAUACAAAGAGAAGCGACCUCGCGAGAGCAAGCGGACCUCAUAAAGUAUGUCGUAGUCCGGAUUGGAGUCUGCAACUCGACUCCAUGAAGUCGGAAUCGCUAGUAAUCGUAGAUCAGAAUGCUACGGUGAAUACGUUCCCGGGCCUUGUACACACCGCCCGUCACACCAUGGGAGUGGGUUGCAAAAGAAGUAGGUAGCUUAACCUUCGGGAGGGCGCUUACCACUUUGUGAUUCAUGACUGGGGUGAAGUCGUAACAAGGUAACCGUAGGGGAACCUGCGGUUGGAUCACCUCCUUACCUUAAAGAA
rnacentral:rRNA from 1 species